GUUCUUUUUCAUUGUUCUACUCACUCAAAUUACAAUCAAGAUGGAUUUCAUUGCAGUCCUUGACUUGGCUUCCUACUGCCCUGUAGGAAGAAGAAAACUCCAUUGUGGAAUCUUAUGCAAAUGUUCUUACUUCUGGUACCUAUAGAUAUCAUUUCAGCAUAUAUGAUGGCCUAAGCCCUGGGAGACGCUGCUCCAGUCAACAAAACCCUCAGAUAACCUGAUGUGUGCUCACCGGUGACAGCAUGAUGGUGAGAUGUGUCAAAGAUCAGCUUUCUAGGAGGUCAGAUGAUUGUGCCAACCAACAGCUGUGGUACCCUUUUGGCUUCCAAGCAUUAAGACUGAAGUAAAAUUCCACAGUGUUCUUGCUUCUGUACUUAUAACAUAAAAUCCAAAGCAGCCGACUCUCACAGAGCUGUAACUGAACAGAGAUAAAACAAGGCUCUCGCCUCCACUUCCAGAUCCCGUUUGAAGUCAUAUCGCCAGUGAGUCAUGUUUCUUUUUUAUUACAUAUUCUCUUGCUGAGAUUGAGAAGUGCAGGAAAGAAAUAUGUCAGAAACAAUUCACAACGGAUCACUGUUAAAUUGAUCUUGCCAAGGGACUUCCCCGGCACCCAGGUCUCAUUCCCUUGGCAAUGCUUAUCAGCACAUCCAUUAACUGUAUAGUAGUAAGAAUAUAAAACCAGAUACAUAUGACACCAAAGCCACAUGAGAAUACAGCAAGAAGACAUCUGUCUAUAUGCCAGGAAGAGAAGCUGCUCCAGAACACACUCUGUCUGGCACCUUGAUCUUGAACUUCUGGCCUCUAGAACUAAAUAGAUAACCUGUAGGUGAGAAGCCAUCUUAAGGAAAGGCUCCAUCCUACUCUCAAGGUUAUUGAAAUUCUACAGUCACAUUCAUCAGGCACUUUGGACUGAGGAGAUGUUAGACUCUUUGGAUGCAAUGAAUUUAUUCUUCUAGAGUGCACUUGCAGUCUAGCAGGUGAAUAUCUAUGGAGAUAACACAGCGCUGUCCUCUGAACAUAUUACCAUUCUUCCUCCUUUAUUCUCACUUCUCUCACCCAUUGGAGAUGUUUCCAAGUUCUGGACUUUCCUAGUCUCCUUGCUCUAUCUCUUACAUUGUCUUAACUACAGAAAUGACAACUGAGUACCCAUACACGACUGCAGUAGUUUGGAAGAUCUGAAAUUCAGAUGGCUUACUUCCUCAACAAAUUGAAUAUUUAUAAUAUCCACAUGAUACUGUUUGGAGACAUAAAGAAAUAAGUUAGUGACACUUGCCUUUCUAGAGGAAAU